rnacentral:rRNA from 1 species
GGUGGCAGCAGUCGAGAAUCUUUCACAAUGGGGGCAACCCUGAUGGAGCGACACCGCGUGGAGGAUAAGGUCUUCGGAUUGUAAACUCCUGUCAUGCGUGAACAAGGCUGCGAGGAUAAUACCUUUGCAGAUUGAUGGUAGCGCAAGAGGAAGAGACGGCUAACUCUGUGCCAGCAGCCGCGGUAAUACAGAGGUCUCAAGCGUNGUUCGGAAUCACUGGGCGUAAAGGGUGCGUAGGUGGCGUGGUAAGUCAGAUGUGAAAGCCCAGGGCUCAACCCUGGAAUUGCAUCCGAUACUGCUGUGCUAGAGUACUGGAGGGGUGACUAGAAUUCUCGGUGUAGCAGUGAAAUGCGUAGAUAUCGAGAGGAAUACCAAAGGCGUAGGCAGGUCACUGGACAGUUACUGACACUGAGGCACGAAGGCCAGGGGAGCGMRCGGGAUUAGAUACCCCGGUAGUCCUGGCAGUAAACGGUGCAUACUUGGUGUGGGAAGAUUCGACCCUUCCUGUGCCGGAGCUAACGCGUUAAGUAUGCCGCCUGGGAAGUACGGUCGCAAGAUUAAAACUCAMAGAAAUUGACGGGGACCCGCACAAGCGGUGGAGUAUGUGGCUUAAUUCGAUGCAACGCGAAGAACCUUACCU